rfam:Picea glauca, whole genome shotgun sequence.
ACAUGCUUACAAGAUAACGUUAAUGGACAUGAUCCCAUUAGAACUCUGUAGUUAAGUGUGCUUGAGCUAGAGUAGUAAUGGGAUGGGUGACCUUCCAGGAAGUCAUAGUAUAUUACAUGCC